AGCGAACGCUGGCGGCAGGCUUAACACAUGCAAGUCGAGCGGGCAUAGCAAUAUGUCAGCGGCAGACGGGUGAGUAACGCGUGGGAACGUACCUUUUGGUUCGGAACAACUGAGGGAAACUUCAGCUAAUACCGGAUAAGCCCUUACGGGGAAAGAUUUAUCGCCGAAAGAGCGGCCCGCGUCUGAUUAGCUAGUUGGUGAGGUAAUGGCUCACCAAGGCGACGAUCAGUAGCUGGUCUGAGAGGAUGAUCAGCCACAUUGGGACUGGGACACGGCCCAAACUCCUACGGGAGGCAGCAGUGGGGAAUAUUGGACAAUGGGCGCAAGCCUGAUCCAGCCAUGCCGCGUGAGUGAUGAAGGCCCUAGGGUUGUAAAGCUCUUUUAUGCGGGAAGAUAAUGACGGUACCGCAAGAAUAAGCCCCGGCUAACUUCGUGCCAGCCGCCGCGGUAA
rnacentral:rRNA from 1 species